rnacentral:rRNA from 1 species
GAGGGAAUUUUGGACAAUGGGCGAAAGCCUGAUCCAGCCAUGCCGCGUGCGGGAAGAAGGCCUUCGGGUUGUAAACCGCUUUUGUCAGGGAAGAAAUCCUUUGGGUUAAUACCUCGAAGGGAUGGCGGUACCUGAAGAAUAAGCACCGGCUAACUACGUGCCAGCAGCCGCGGUAAUACGUAGGGUGCAAGCGUUAAUCGGAAUUACUGGGCGUAAAGCGUGCGCAGGCGGUUGUGCAAGACAGAUGUGAAAUCCCCGGGCUCAACCUGGGAACUGCAUUUGUGACUGCACGGCUAGAGUGCGGCAGAGGGAGAUGGAAUUCCGCGUGUAGCAGUGAAAUGCGUAGAUAUGCGGAGGAACACCGAUGGCGAAGGCAAUCUCCUGGGCCUGCACUGACGCUCAUGCACGAAAGCGUGGGGAGCAAACAGGAUUAGAUACCCUGGUAGUCCACGCCCUAAACGAUGUCAACU